UGUUCUAGUACUGAGAGCGUAUUGGAUACACACCUACCCAUUCCGAAUUAGGUUGUGAAACGAUAUGGCAGCUACGAUACUUUUGGGGAAACCCUCUGGGAAAACGGCUAGGUGCUAGGAG
rnacentral:rRNA from 1 species